rnacentral:rRNA from 1 species
AUUGAACGCUGGCGGCAGGCCUAACACAUGCAAGUCGAGCGGAUGAAGGGAGCUUGCUCCUGGAUUCAGCGGCGGACGGGUGAGUAAUGCCUAGGAAUCUGCCUGGUAGUGGGGGAUAACGUCCGGAAACGGGCGCUAAUACCGCAUACGUCCUGAGGGAGAAGGUGGGGGAUCUUCGGACCUCACGCUAUCAGAUGAGCCUAGGUCGGAUUAGCUAGUUGGUGGGGUAAAGGCCUACCAAGGCGACGAUCCGUAACUGGUCUGAGGGGAUGAUCAGUCACACUGGAACUGAGACACGGUCCAGACUCCUACGGGAGGCAGCAGUGGGGAAUAUUGGACAAUGGGCGAAAGCCUGAUCCAGCCAUGCCGCGUGUGUGAAGAAGGUCUUCGGAUUGUAAAGCACUUUAAGUUGGGAGGAAGGGCAGUAAGUUAAUACCUUGCUGUUUUGACGUUACCAACAGAAUAAGCACCGGCUAACUUCGUG